rfam:Eutrema salsugineum unplaced genomic scaffold scaffold_8, whole genome shotgun sequence.
AAGCCGUGGUGUGGACAUUGGUUAGUGUAGCUUCUAAACCGUUCCCAAGCUUCACUAAAGCUCUCGUUAUUGUGCUGCGUGAAACUUGAGAUCUGAUUCCUGAGCUU